rnacentral:rRNA from 1 species
ACGUAGGGAGCAAGUGUUGUCAGGAAUUACUGGGCGUAAAGGGCGCGUAGGCGGGAACUUAAGUCAGAUGUGAAAACUCCAGGCUCAACUUGGAGACUGCAUUUGAAACUGAGUUUCUUGAGGGCAGGAGAGGAAAGUGGAAUUCCUAGUGUAGAGGGGAAAUGCGUAGAUAUUGGGAGGAACCCGAUUGGCGAAGGAGCCUUUCUGGUCUGCACCUGAGGCUGUGGAGCGAAAGGGUGGGAGCAAACGG